rnacentral:ncRNA from 1 species
CCGGCACCGGUUCCCGUGCACCCACACGACCCGGCGGCC